rnacentral:rRNA from 1 species
CAGCCGCCGCGGGAAUACGGAGGGUGCAAGCGUUAAUCGGAAUUACUGGGCGUAAAGCGCACGCAGGCGGUCUGACAAGUCAGAUGUGAAAUCCCCGGGCUCAACCUGGGAACUGCCUUUGUGACUGCAAGGCUAGAGUACGGCAGAGGGGGAUGGAAUUCCGCGUGUAGCAGUGAAAUGCGUAGAUAUGCGGAGGAACACCGAUGGCGAAGGCAAUCCCCUGGGCCUGUACUGACGCUCAUGCACGAAAGCGUGGGGAGCAAACAGGAUUAGAGACCCCUGUAGUCCCUGUCUCUUAUAC